UAGAGGAAUUAGCAUUUCUCACGCCGCCAUUUUUGGGGUACUGCCUUUUCCAAAUCGGAGAUUGUACGCAGUGAAUAAGGGAUUUGUAGAACUAUAAUUAUAAUCAUUUAAUAAUUAAUUUACAGUUAAAUAUUUGAAAAAAUGUUUUCACAUCGCUUAGAUUUCUCACGUCGUUUUCAAAAAAGUACCCCAAAAAUGGCGAAUUUGGCCUUCGUGUGAAGGUCCAGAC